rnacentral:rRNA from 1 species
UGAAUACGAGAUGCUACGGCGUCGAAGCAGUGUAUGUCAGACUUCCGAGAAAAGCUCGCAAUGUCAUAAAUAAAGAAUGCCUGUACCAUAACCGACACAGGUGGGUAGGUAGAGUAUACUAAGGGGCGCGAGAUAACUCUCUCUAAGGAACUCGGCAAAAUAACUCCGUAACUUCGGGAGAAGGAGUGCCUUCUUUAAGAAGGUUGCAAUAACAAGAUCCAAGCAACUGUUUAUCAAAAACACAGGUCUCCGCUAAGUCGUAAGACGAUGUAUGGGGGCUGACGCCUGCCCAGGGCCAGAAGGUUAAAGAAGUUGGUUAGCUUUUGCGAAGCUGAUGACUGAAGCCCUGGUGAACGGCGGCCGUAACUAUAACGGUCCUAAGGUAGCGAAAUUCCUUGUCGGGUAAGUUCCGACCCGCACGAAAGGCGUAAUGAUUUGGAUACUGUCUCGGAGAGGGACUCGGUGAAAUAGACUUGUCUGUGAAGAUGCGGACUACCUGCACCAGGACAGAAAGACCCUAUGAAGCUUUACUGUAACUUGAAAUUGAAAUUGGACUUUAUUUGCGCAGUAUAGGUGGAAGGCGUUGAAAGUAAUCUUGCGGGAUUAGUGGAGCCAUCAGUGAGAUACCACUCCUAUAAUGUUAGAUUUCUAACUUUGGAUCAUGAUCUGGUCAAAGAACAGUUUCAGGCGGGCAGUUUGACUGGGGCGGUCGCCUCCCAAAUGGUAACGGAGGCGUACAAAGGUUUCCUCUGAACGGGUAGAAAUCGUAUCUAGAGUGUAAAGGCAUAAGGAAGCUUGACUGUGAGACCUACAAGUCGAGCAGGGACGAAAGUCGGUCUUAGUGAUCUGACGGUGCUGAGUGGAAAGGCCGUCACUCAACGGAUAAAAGUUACUCUAAGGAUAACAGGCUGAUCUCCCCCAAGAGUUCACAUCGACGGGGAGGUUUGGCACCUCGAUGUCGGCUCAUCGCAUCCUGGGGCGGUAGUACGUCCCAAGGGUUGGGCUGUUCGCCCAUGAAAGCGGUACGCGAGCUGGGUUCAGAACGUCGUGAGACAGUUCGGUCCAUAUCCGGUGUAGGCGUUAGAAUAUUGAGAGGAGCCUUCUUUAGUACGGGAGGACCGAGAAGGACAUACCUCUGGUGUACCAGUUAUCGUGCCAACGGUAAACGCUGGGUAGCUAUGUAUGGAGAGGAUAACCGCUGAAAGCAUCUAAGUGGGAAGCCCACCUCAAGAUGAGUGUUCUC